UCAUGAUUUACAUUUGAGUGAGUGGCGAACUGGUGAGUAACACGUGGGAAACCUGCCCAGAAGCGGGGGAUAACACCUGGAAACAGAUGCUAAUACCGCAUAACAACUUGGACCGCAUGGUCCGAGUUUGAAAGAUGGCUUCGGCUAUCACUUUUGGAUGGUCCCGCGGCGUAUUAGCUAGAUGGUGGGGUAACGGCUCACCAUGGCAAUGAUACGUAGCCGACCUGAGAGGGUAAUCGGCCACAUUGGGACUGAGACACGGCCCAAACUCCUACGGGAGGCAGCAGUAGGGAAUCUUCCACAAUGGACGAAAGUCUGAUGGAGCAACGCCGCGUGAGUGAAGAAGGGUUUCGGCUCGUAAAACUCUGUUGUUAAAGAAGAACAUAUCUGAGAGUAACUGUUCAGGUAUUGACGGUAUUUAACCAGAAAGCCACGGCUAACUACGUGCCAGCAGCCGCGGUAAUACGUAGGUGGCAAGCGUUGUCCGGAUUUAUUGGGCGUAAAGCGAGCGCAGGCGGUUUUUUAAGUCUGAUGUGAAAGCCUUCGGCUCAACCGAAGAAGUGCAUCGGAAACUGGGAAACUUGAGUGCAGAAGAGGACAGUGGAACUCCAUGUGUAGCGGUGAAAUGCGUAGAUAUAUGGAAGAACACCAGUGGCGAAGGCGGCUGUCUGGUCUGUAACUGACGCUGAGGCUCGAAAGUAUGGGUAGCAAACAGGAUUAGAUACCCUGGUAGUCCAUACCGUAAACGAUGAAUGCUAAGUGUUGGAGGGUUUCCGCCCUUCAGUGCUGCAGCUAACGCAUUAAGCAUUCCGCCUGGGGAGUACGGCCGCAAGGCUGAAACUCAAAGGAAUUGACGGGGGCCCGCACAAGCGGUGGAGCAUGUGGUUUAAUUCGAAGCUACGCGAAGAACCUUACCAGGUCUUGACAUACUAUGCAAAUCUAAGAGAUUAGACGUUCCCUUCGGGGACAUGGAUACAGGUGGUGCAUGGUUGUCGUCAGCUCGUGUCGUGAGAUGUUGGGUUAAGUCCCGCAACGAGCGCAACCCUUAUUAUCAGUUGCCAGCAUUAAGUUGGGCACUCUGGUGAGACUGCCGGUGACAAACCGGAGGAAGGUGGGGAUGACGUCAAAUCAUCAUGCCCCUUAUGACCUGGGCUACACACGUGCUACAAUGGAUGGUACAACGAGUUGCGAACUCGCGAGAGUAAGCUAAUCUCUUAAAGCCAUUCUCAGUUCGGAUUGUAGGCUGCAACUCGCCUACAUGAAGUCGGAAUCGCUAGUAAUCGCGGAUCAGCAUGCCGCGGUGAAUACGUUCCCGGGCCUUGUACACACCGCCCGUCACACCAUGAGAGUUUGUAACACCCAAAGUCGGUGGGGUAACCUUUAG
rnacentral:rRNA from 2 species